rnacentral:ncRNA from 2 species
CAAUAACAGGUCUGUGAUGC